rnacentral:rRNA from 1 species
GGUUGGGACUAGUCUAGCCUGCUCUAUGUGUUAUAAAUGGCUGCGGUAAUCUGACUGUACUAAGGUAGCAUAGUCAUUAGUUUUUUAAUUGGGGACUGGAAUGAAGGGCAUUAACCUCAUGGGAGGUUUUAUAGAGAUUUUUUGAAAUUGAGUCGAAAGUAAGAAUGCUUUCAUAAAACUUUGGGACGAGAAGACCCUAGAAGCUUAGAAUCAAGUGAUUUUUGGUUGGGGCGAUCAAAGGAAGACAUCAAUCUUUUUUUUUGAAGGGGUUAAAAAUUACUCUAGGGAUAACAGCGUAAUUUAAUUUGGGAGUCCUUAUCUUGAGUUAAGUUUGCGACCUCCAUGUUGAAUUAAAUGUAGGUUAAGUGAAGGAACUUAAUUGAGUGGUCUGUUCCACCUGGGG